AGCGAACGCUGGCGGCAGGCCUAACACAUGCAAGUCGAACGGUGUCUUCGGACAUAGUGGCGCACGGGUGCGUAACACGUAUGCAACCUACCUUACAUUGGGGGAUAGCCUUUCGAAAGGGAGAUUAAUACCGCAUAAGACAGUAGCUGGGCAUCCAGCAGCUGUUAAAGAUUUAUCGAUGUAAGCUGGGCAUGCGUCCAAUUAGCUAGUUGGUGAGGUAACGGCUCACCAAGGCAAUGAUUGGUAGGGGAACUGAGAGGUCAAUCCCCCACACUGGCACUGGGAUACGGGCCAGACUCCUACGGGAGGCAGCAGUAGGGAAUAUUGGGCAAUGGACGCAAGUCUGACCCAGCCAUGCCGCGUGCAGGAUGAAGGCGUUAUGCGUUGUAAACUGCUUUUAUACAGGAAGAAACGACUCUUGCGAGAGGCAUUGACGGUACUGUAUGAAUAAGCACCGGCUAACUCCGUGCCAGCAGCCGCCGUAAGAC
rnacentral:rRNA from 1 species